CCAAGUGGAUAGGGGUUACUGUGUUUCUUUGUAUGUGCUGUGCCUAAUGGGAUGUGUAGUUUCACUUUCGGGCCAGCCUGGUGGGAAAUCUCGCGAGAAUGACGAAAUCACAUGAGACUUCAUGCGCGCGAACAGCAGUCUCCUCAGCGCGGGCAAUGGCGAAGUGUGUAUUCCUUGCGUGUAUGAACAGAAACGGAUAAAUCCGGUAACACAGAGAGAAUACUUGUUGCAGUUAAAGAAUUAGAGUGAGACCGAGCUGACAGACUGACGUUGGUGACCAGAAACUUCACGUUUAUUUGUCGUCGGUAAGGAGCGUGUUUACAUUGUGUCCGCUGCACCGGGAAUAAAACUAGAGGACCACGGGUCAGCGUAAGUGGCCGCAUGUACGUUCCCAAAAUGUUAAUUAAGACAAUUUCAUGGGCAAACUUUUGUUUAAGAUAUGCAUCUUAUCACCCAUGUAGAGGGGAGAUAGAGAGCUGUGUGUGUUACAUCCAGGAGAGGGGUGAGGCUCUCAAGCUACAAGCUAGGGAAAGAAAAUACAGCCACUGCUGUUGUCUGUUUUGUACUGACAGUUAUAAAUUAAGUCAGAAGUCAGAAAGGAAAAAGAAACAGGAUUUUAUUCCUACUUUUAUUAUUUGAUUGUUAUAAACAUCUGUCUCAAAAUUAGCAAAUUCAUGCUGUCCUUGUUUGAGGUCAGUCGGGGUAUUAAAGAUCCUCUAAAAUAUA